UUUUCCAUAGCCUCUUCAUUACUACCCUAUGCCAUUGAAAGACCCCUGGAGCAGGGAGACCCUCACUCAAGUCUCAGGAUGACACGACCCCCCAAGAACUCACAUGAGACG
rnacentral:pre_miRNA from 14 species